GGCAGCUGUCCUGGCCAGAGCCAGCCCUGUGCCGUGCUGGGAGGGGGCUCAGCCCCCCAGAACCCCCCUGGCAGGUACUGCUGGCCCCGCCACAGCACGGAGCUCACAUCCUUAUUUGCACAACGGCUCCAGAGACAGCCGAGCCAAAAAAGCUUAUUUUAAGCUAGCUGGAAAAAGAACAUUGUUUGGUGGGAAUUUAAACUCCCCAUUCUCAAAAAAGGCAAAAACAAAAAGUGCUUCAUUCUGCCGGCUCCUGCCAUUGCAUAAACACAGAGACAGGCACGGCUGGGCAGGGGGGACAGGAAUUUAUUGCUGGCAUCGAGGAUGGGUUGUGGGACAGGGACCCCUCCUCUUCUGUGCCCUCUCUGUCCCAAAAUCCCUCCUGCUGGCAGGAGGGAGGGAAGGGGCAUUGCCCCACCGUGGUGCCAGUGCUGCGGUCAGGAGGGGUGAGCACGCUGGCAGCCCGAGCUCUGGCUGGCCCGGGUUCUGCAUCGCUGCACAAUAUUAUUAAUAAAUAUUAUUUAUACAGCCCUAAUCCAGCUCCCCGGGCGGGCAGCCGGCCAUGCUCGGGGCUGGCUGUAAAUCACGCCCUUCGCAUCCCCGAACAGGAGAUUUGGGCGCCGGGAGGCAGAGCUGAGCUGGGGGCACAGCAGCACCCGGACAGGAGGCUCCGGGGGGGCCCGGGGCGGGGGAAGAUGCGCGUCCGUCCGUCCGUCCGUCCGUCUGUCCGUGCGGCACAUCCUGCGCGGCCCCUCCGGCGCAUCCAUCACCCGCCCGCGUUUACAGCACGUCGCUGCUUUUACACGAUCCAGACGCGCAGGUUCCUCCUGUCCCGCUCCUCCAGCGCCUUUUGUUUGCUUUCGCCUCCUGCUGCUGGAGACAGAGCAGCUGAUGGAAAAAGCCUGCUCUGGAAAGGGCCGCUUCCUUCCGUCCCUGCCGGCUCUGGCCCCGCUGCUGGCUCUGGAGGGGCCGGUGUGGGCGCAGGGCACGGAGUGACCCUGCUCACAGUGUGGGGCAGUCUCAGGUUCCUGUAGGACCGAUGGGGCACAACCAUGGUGUCCUCCAGGACCUGGCCAUGGGUCCCCUCAUCCAG
rnacentral:lncRNA from 1 species